rnacentral:rRNA from 1 species
AGAGUUUGAUUAUGGCUCAGAACGAACGCUGGCGGCAUGGAUUAGGCAUGCAAGUCGAACGAAGCAGCAAUGCUUAGUGGCGCAAGGGUGAGGAACACGUGAGAGACCUACCCGCAAGUUUGGAACAGCUCCUGGAAACGGGAAUUAAUACCGGAUGUGAUCAUGAAGCUGCAUGGUUUCAUGAUUAAAGCAGUAAUGCGCUUGCGGAUGGGCUCGCGUCCCAUUAGCUAGUUGGUGAGGUAACGGCCCACCAAGGCCAUGAUGGGUAGCUGGUCUGAGAGGACGACCAGCCACACUGGGACUGAGAACUGCCCAGACUCCUACGGGAGGCUGCAGUCGAGAAUUUUGGGCAAUGGACGAAAGUCUUGACCCAGCAAUGCCGCGUGCGGGAUGAAGGUCUUCGGAUUGUAAACCGCUGUUUGGAGGGACGAAAAUUGACGGUACUUCCAGAGGAAGCCACGGCUAACUACGUGCCAGCCGCCGC